GUGCCAGCCGCCACGGUAAUACCGGCAGCCCAAGUGAUGGCCGAUAUUAUUGGGUCUAAAGCGUUCGUAGCUGGCCAGACAAGUCCGUUGGGAAAUCCGCAUGCUUAACGUGCGGGCGUCCAGCGGAAACUGUCCGGCUUGGGACCGGAAGACCCGAGGGGUACGUCCAGGGUAGGAGUGAAAUCCCGUAAUCUUGGACGGACCACCUGUGGCGAAAGCGCCUCGGGAAGACGGAUCCGACAGUGAGGAACGAAAGCCAGGGUCUCGAACCGGAUUAGAUACCCCAGUAGUCC
rnacentral:rRNA from 1 species